ACGGAAGGCAGCAGUGGGGAAUAUUGGGCGAUGGGCAAAAGCCUGACCCAGCGACGCCGCGUGAGGGAAGAAGAUCUUCGGAUUGUAAACCUUAGUCAACAGGGAAGAAGCAAGUGACGGUACCUGUGGAGGAAGCCACGGCUAACUACGUGCCAGCAGCCGCGGUAAUACGUAGGUGGCGAGCGUUAUCCGGAUUUACUGGGUGUAAAGGGUGUGUAGGCGGAUAUUCAAGUCAGAUGUGAAAACUAUGGGCUCAACCCAUAGCCUGCAUUUGAAACUGUAUAUCUUGAGCGUGAGAGAGGUAAACGGAAUUCCCGGCGUAGCAGUGAAAUGCGUAGAUAUCGGGAGGAACACCAGUGGCGAAGGCGGUUUACUGGACCAUGACUGACGCUGAGACACGAAGGCGUGGGAGCAAACAGGAUUAGAUACCCUGGUA
rnacentral:rRNA from 1 species